rnacentral:rRNA from 1 species
UACGUAGGGUGCAAGCGUUUGUCCGGAAUUAUUGGGCGUAAAGGGCGCGUAGGCGGUGCGGUAAGUCACCUGUGAAAUCUCCUGGCUCAACUGGGAGCUUGCAGGCGAAACUGCCGUGCUGGAGUGUGGGAGAGGUGCGUGGAAUUCCCGGUGUAGCGGUGAAAUGCGCAGAUAUCAGGAAGAACACCUAUGGCGAAAGCAGCUCUCUGGGACGGUACUGACGCUGAGACGCGAAAGCGUGGGGAGCGAACAGG